GACGAACGCUGGCGGCGUGCUUAAUACAUGCAAGUCGAACGCAUUUUCCCUCAUCGUGGCUUGCUCCCGCGAAACAAACUGAGUGGCGAACGGGUGAUUAACACGUGUGUAACCUGCGCAUAAGCGGGGGAUAACACUCGGAUACCGGUUCUAAGACCGUACAAUUUCAUUUACGUCAUGGAAGUUGGAUGAAUGGCGCUUUUGCGUCACUGAUGCAUGGACUCGCGGUGCAUGAGCCUGUCCGUGGGGUUGCGGCGUACCAAGGCUGGGAUGCAUAGCGGACCGGCGUGGACGGUCGGCCGCACUGGGACGGAGACACGCCCCAGAGUGCUACGGAAGGCGGCAGUAGGGAUUCGGCGGGAAUGGGCGCAAGACUGACCGAGCAACGCCGCGUGAGUGAAGAGGGUUUUCGGAUGGUAAAUCUCUGUCGUUAGAGAAGAACAAGGAUGAGAGUGGAAAGUUCAGCGCUUGACGGUAUCUAGCCAGAAAGCCACGGCUAACUACGUG
rnacentral:rRNA from 1 species